UGCCAGCAGCCGCGGUAAGACGUAGGACGCGAGCGUUAUCCGGAUUUACUGGGCGUAAAGCGCCUGCAGGCGGUCAGGUAAGUCGGUUGUGAAAGCCCCGUGCUCAACGCGGGGAGGCCAAGCGAUACUGCGUGACUUGAGGGCGGAAGAGGGGAGUGGAAUUCCCGGUGUAGCGGUAAAAUGCGCAGAUAUCGGGAGGAACACCAGUGGCGAAGGCGGCUCCCUGGACCGCACCUGACGCUCAGAGGCGAAAGCUAGGGGAGCGAACAGGAUUAGAGACCCUGGUAGUCCUAGCCCUAAACGCUGGAUGCUAGGUGUAGGGCUGAUGAGGCUCUGUGCCGGAGCGAACGCGAUAAGCAUCCCGCCUGGGAACUACGGCCGCAAGGCUAAAACUCAAACGAAUUGACGGGGACCCGCACAAGCAGCGGAGCGUGUGGUUUAAUUCGAUGCUACACGAAGAACCUUACCUGGGUUUGACAUGCUGGUGGUACCGAACCGAAAGGGGAGGGACCCUUCGGGGAGCCAACACAGGUGCUGCAUGGCUGUCGUCAGCUCGUGCCGUGAGGUGUCGGGUUAAGUCCCGUAACGAGCGCAACCCUUGCUCUUAGUUAUACGUGUCUAAGGGGACUGCCGGCGACAAGCCGGAGGAAGGUGGGGAUGACGUCAAGUCAGCAUGGCCUUGAUAUCCAGGGCUACACACACGCUACAAUGGCCGGUACAAAGGGCAGCCAAGCCGCGAGGUGGAGCGAAUCCCAGCAAAGCCGGUCCCAGUUCGGAUUGCAGGCUGCAACCCGCCUGCAUGAAGUUGGAG
rnacentral:rRNA from 1 species